rnacentral:rRNA from 1 species
GAUGAACGCUAGCUACAGGCUUAACACAUGCAAGUCGAGGGGUAGCAGGGUAGCAAUACCGCUGACGACCGGCGCACGGGUGAGUACCACGUAUCCAACCUUCCCAUAACUCAGGAAUAGCCUUUCGAAAGAAAGAUUAAUACCUGAUAGUACUUUUUUAAGGCAUCUUGAAAAAGUUAAAGAUUUAUCGGUUAUGGAUGGGGAUGCGUUCCAUUAGAUAGUUGGUGAGGUAACGGCUCACCAAGUCUUCGAUGGAUAGGGGUUCUGAGAGGAAGGUCCCCCACAAUGGUACUGAGACACGGACCAAACUCCUACGGGAGGCAGCAGUGAGGAAUAUUGGUCAAUGGGCGAGAGCCUGAACCAGCCAAGUAGCGUGAAGGAUGAAGGUCCUAUGGAUUGUAAACUUCUUUUAUAGUAGAAUAAAGUGAGCCACGUGUGGUUUUUUGUAUGUAUACUAUGAAUAAGGAUCGGCUAACUCCGUGCCAGCAGCCGCAGUAAAAC